GACAGAGGUGCCAAGCGUUAGGCGGAAUCACUGGGCUUAAAGCGUGUGUAGGCGGAUCGUUAAGUACCUUGUGAAAUCCCACGGCUCAACCGUGGAACUGCUCGGUAUACUGGCGAUCUUGGGCCAACUAGGGGCAACUGGAACAAGCGGUGGAGCGGUGAAAUGCGUAGAUAUUGGGUAGAACACCGGUGGCGAAGGCGGCAUCCUGGACCAAUACUGACGCUGAGUGAGCGAAAGCCAGGGGAGCAAACGGG
rnacentral:rRNA from 1 species